AACGAACGCUGGCGGCAGGCCUAACACAUGCAAGUCGAGCGAAGCCUUCGGGCUUAGCGGCGGACGGGUGAGUAACGCGUGGGAACGUGCCCUUUGGUACGGAAUAGCCCCGGGAAACUGGGAGUAAUACCGUAUGUGCCCUUCGGGGGAAAGAUUUAUCGCCAAAGGAUCGGCCCGCGUUGGAUUAGGUAGUUGGUGGGGUAAUGGCCUACCAAGCCGACGAUCCAUAGCUGGUUUGAGAGGAGGAUCAGCCACACUGGGACUGAGACACGGCCCAGACUCCUACGGGAGGCAGCAGUGGGGAAUCUUAGACAAUGGGGAAAACCCUGAUCUAGCCAUGCCGCGUGAUCGAUGAAGGCCUUAGGGUUGUAAAGAUCUUUCAGUGGGGAAGAUAAUGACUGUACCCACAGAAGAAGCCCCGGCUAACUCCGUGCCAGCCGCCGCGGUAA
rnacentral:rRNA from 1 species